rnacentral:rRNA from 2 species
AAAACUUUCAACAACGGAUCUCUUGGUUCUGGCAUCGAUGAAGAACGCAGCGAAAUGCGAUAAGUAAUGUGAAUUGCAGAAUUCAGUGAAUCAUCGAAUCUUUGAACGCACAUUGCGCCCGGCAGCAAUCUGCCGGGCAUGCCUGUCCGAGCGUCAUUU